GGGAUAAUAGGGGACACUCCCUACUGCCAUACUGAUUGGCUAGAUGGUGGAGUAUUAACAUGCUAGCACUUUAAUUGUUAAGUCCUUUACCAGAUAUGUCAUGGUGUCUUGAGAAUAAUUGGUAUUACAGUGCUUAGCAGUCAUGUACAUUUACACAAUUACAAUUUUUCAGUUACUCAUUCUACACUACAGACAUAGCACGGGGUAAACAAUUUUAUAUAAUAAAAGGUUUUACGAU